GCGGGACUGCCCGGCACGAGCCGUUUGAAUAUCCCUGAGGCUAUAAGCAAUCCAACGGGAGCUGUCCCUGCCCUGGUUCACUGGUUCGUCCGGGGGGCCGGGGCAUACGGCGCCCACCUGACGUUUAGGCGUCAGAGGAUUUCCCGGAAAACGACCCAUGGUGGUUCCGCC
rnacentral:other from 1 species